UACGGAAGGCAGCAGUGGGGAAUAUUGCACAAUGGGCGAAAGCCUGAUGCAGCUAUGCCGCGUGUAUGAAGAAGGCCUUAGGGUUGUAAAGUACUUUCAUCGGGGAGGAAAAACAAAACUAAUAAUUUUAUUUCUUGACGUUACCCGAAAAAGAAGCACCGGCUAACUCCGUGCCAGCAGCCGCGGUAAUACGGAGGGUGCUAGCGUUAAUCAGAAUUACUGGGCGUAAAGAGCACGUAGGUGGUUUUUUAAGUCAGAUGUGAAAUACCCUGGGCUUAACCUGGAACUGCAUUUUGAAACUGAAAUACUAGAGUAUCGUAGAGGGAGGUAGAAUUCUAGGUGUAGCGGUGAAAUGCGUAGAUAUCUGGAGGAAUACCUGUGGCGAAAGCGGCCUCCUAAACGAAUACUGACACUGAGGUGCGAAAGCGUGGGGAGCAAACAGGGAUUAGAUACC
rnacentral:rRNA from 1 species